AUUGAACGCUGGCGGCAGGCCUAACACAUGCAAGUCGAGCGAGCGGCGGACGGGUGAGUAAUGUCUGGGAAACUGCCUGCUGGAGGGGGGUAACUACUGGAAACGGUAGCUAAUACCGCAUACCAUCAGAUGUGCCCAGGUGGGAUUAUCUAGUAGGUGGGGUAACGGCUCACCUAGGCGACGAUCCCUCGCUGGUCUGAGAGGAUGACCGGCCACACUGGAACGGAGACACGGUCCGGACUCCUACGGGAGGCAGCAGUGGGGAAUAUUGCACAAUGGGCGCAAGCCUGAUGCAGCCAGGCCGGGUGUGUGAAGAAGGCCUUCGGGUUGUAAAGCACUUUCAGCGGGGAGGCGUUACCCACAGAAGAAGCACCGGCUAACUCCGUGCCAGCAGCCGCGGUAAUUC
rnacentral:rRNA from 1 species